GGGUGGGGUAGGCGGGGAGAGCUGCCACUGGAUCUGCUUAAUCUGGAACCAGGGUCAAAGCAGUGACUGUCGGAAGCCACCAGGCCAAGAUGUCUUUCUAUCAUGGCUGGUGUCUUAUCACCAUACCCAGAGAGGGCUUCCCUUGGAGCUCUAGAAAGACGAUGACAGCAAAAAGAAACUGUUCUGUUGAUGGCUCUGGAGAGGCCCCCUGGAACUCUAGUUCUCAGCAGCCAACUCUGGUGAUGGAGGAUGGGAUUUAAAUGGUGGACACCUAAAGGAGAAGAAAGCACAAAAGAAUGUCCAAUCAAGAAUACGGGGCAGAAAUAAAAUGGGAGAAUAUGACUCAGGUAUUGUUCUCCUAAAUUCUCCCAGGGCCUUUGCAUAUACUGUUUCCAACGUGUGGAACCUGGAAGGAGGUCAGUUUUUCUUGUUGUGUUCUGAUACAGUGCUUGUACUUCUCUUUCUAGCAUUGUCACUGUUGAAUUUAUGUGUUCAAGUGGUCCUUUGAUUAAUGUCCUGUCUUGCUAAAUAGCUGUAACCUCCAUGAAGGCAAGAACUGUUCUGCUGACUGUUGUUGCUCAAGGGCAUGGGGCCUGAGCCCUGCUAGAUAUUCCAUAGGUAUUUCAUGGAUGACUGCUUGAAGGACUUUUAGAACAUGUUCCCAAGUAAGAACAAGUGAACUACAGUACAUAAUUCUCCUAAUCUUGGGCUGUGUGUGUGUGUGUGUGUGUGACUGUGCUGGGUCUUCGUUGCUGUGCACGAGCUUUCUCUAGUUGUGGCCAAGUGAGGCUCCUGCAGUGGCUUCUCUUGUUGCAGAGCAUGGGCUUUAGAUGUGCAGGCUCAGUAGUUGUGACUCGUGGGCUGUAGAGCUCGGGCUCAGGAGUUGUGGCGCACGGGCUUGGAUGCUCUGUGGCAUGUGAGAUCUUCCUGGACCAGGGAUCAAACCAUGUCCCCUAUACUGGCAGGUGGAUUCUUUAACACUGAGCCCCCAGGGAAAUCCCUAACCUCAGGCUUAUAUUUCAUUGUUCUGUGUAAAGACCUUUUUCUGACACCACACUAGCAUGCUGGGAGCAUUGACACCAGAUUCAGCAUGGUAACUGACCACAUUGGGACUUCAUGAGGAAGGGUAGUGAAGACUUCUUAAGUCAGUCAGAAUCCUGCCCUCACAGAACAAAAGACACACAACUCCUUUGACUUCCCUGAAAUUGUCAAAAGGUUUGUUCUUACCUCAGAGGUCUUGCAUCUCAGAGUGGUUGCCACUACUAUGCAAAUAUCAUGGUGCUCUGACUCCAACUUGGAGAAGUUCUGGGUGGUGAUCUCUACACUGUACUACACUCUUCCCUGUUUCCUUUGAUGGGAGAUUUUAGGCCUGGUGUAAUCAAGGUAAUCACAAAAUCUAUGGCAGUUAUAUUUGGAUGUUACAGAGCUGCUCAGUGUGGCCAACAGGAGAUACGUGGGAGUGUGAUAUGGUGGCUUCAUUAAAAGACAUUUGGGAUGUGCUGCAUGGCACAGAGCACUGUAUUCAAUAUUUUACAAUAUCUAUAAUGGAAAACAAUCAUAUAGCUGAAAUCAGUGCAGUAACUGUCUUUCAAUGACUGGCUUCUUACACUUAGCAUCGUGUCCUAAGGUUCAUCCAUGUUGUCACAUGUUACAGGAUUUCCUUGUUUCCUAAGGCUGAAUAAUCUUUAUUGUAUGGAUAUAUCAUAUUUUCUUUGUUUAUUCAUCCAUCAAUAGACAUUUAGGUUGCAUCCUCAUCUGCCUAUUGUGAACAGUGCUGCAGUGAACAUGGAGUGCUAAUCUCUCUUUGAGAUCCUGAUUUCAGUACUUUUGGAUAACUGUGCAGAAGUGGGGUUGCUGGAUCAUACAGUAAUACAACUCAAUAGCAAAAAAACCACCCUAAUUACCCAAUUUAAAAAUGGGCUAAAGACUUGAAUAGACACUUCUUUGAAGAAGACAUACAGAUGGGCAACAGGCAGGUUCUUUACCAGUAGCACCACAUGGGAAUCCCUAGCAAAAGAAAGGUGACUGCUAGUUCCAACAAGGAUGAGUUCACACAUGAGGUCAGAUGUGUUUCUUUAAGAAGAGGGCAGUUGGACUUCCCUGGUGGUACAGUGAAUAAGAAUCCACUGGGGACAUGGGCUCGAUUCCUAGUCUGAGAAGAUUCCACAUGCCAUGGGCAACUAAAGCUUUUGUACCACAACUACUGAGCUCUAGGGCCAGAGAGCCACAGCUAAUGAGCCUCUGUGCUGAAGCCCUCGAAUCCUAGAGCCUGCCUGCUGCUAAUACUGAAGCCGGUGUGCCUAGAGCCUGUGCUCCGCAAGGAAGAGCAGCCCCUGCUCGCUGCAGCUAGUGAAAGCCCUUGCACAGAAAUGAAGAUCCUGUGCAACGAAAAAUAAAUAAUAAUGAAAAAAAGGAAAAAACCAGUUAUUUCAAAUUUGCUGGCCUCUUGCUUGUGACUGUCUGUGUGUGUGAGCUCACACGGAAGCACACACACAUCCCCACACCCACUCCCCCCUGCACACACAUAUAUAUACACACACACACACACACAAUGUAUCCCUUCAGGUAAAGGUGAUGUUUUGGGAGUUAAUAUGACUGUGCUUUAAAAUAAUCAUGUUAUGGGGAAAGCAUUUUGAAAAUUGAUGUUUGGAACUGUUUCUAUUAUUAUGUGAUUUUAAUGCCAAAAUGAAGUGUCUCAUUGCCAACUAUAGAGACUGGCAUAGCCACAGCCUCCAAAAUUAAGAAGUACACUUUUAAAACCCAUUUUGCAUUCUUCCAAAUGAAGAGUUUCUGGAGUUUAAAAAAUCCCAUUGUUAAAAAUAUCCCCAGAAACAACUGAUGAAAAUGAAACGGCUUCUAAAACAUCAACCAGCUUAUACUGGUUUUUGCCUCCCCAACCAGCUUAAACUGGUUCUGCUUCCUUCAAAUAAGUUCAUUAAUCAAACCUUGACUUAUUUUACAGAGACAACAGUGCAAGAUGGGAAACCAUCUCUCCAGGAUGACCCCCAACCAAGAAUCUUCAGUCUACAGAACUCAAAGAAUCAAAAGGUUGCCACUGGAACCCUUAACAAAGCAAAGAACUAAGUCAUUCAAUAAGGAAAACCUGGCUUCCAGUAGCAUGACUAGCUUAUAUGUUCUGAUUCAAGACUAGCCAAUCAGCUUCCAAGUUUGAAAUUCCCCUAACCCCUUAAAUUUUAUUUAAACCAACCCUGGAUCAUGGAGACAGAUUUGAGAGCUUUGUCUCCUGUCUCUCUGCUGGUUAACCUCACAAUAAAGAUUUUUUUCCCCCUCAAAACCAGUGACAUAUUAUUGGCUACUAUACACAUCAGGCAUUGAACACUUGCUUGAUAACAAAAACAUCAGGAAUGAAGGCUUCAUGGACAAAGAAGGGUUUUCUGGGGGAACGUCACAUUUGCAAAACUGAUAUUAGAUGGAAUUUAAGCAGUGAGAAUUAUGGUUUAAUAAGUGUAGUGAAAGAUAAAAUUCUUCUAUUUGGGUGUAUUUAUCUUUGUGAGGUUUUUGUUUUGCAAUAAUAGCCAUUAGGACUAAGUAUUGACAUUAAUUGAACUUAAAAGCAUACUUUCUAGUCUCAUAAAAUAUUAAAG
ensembl:lncRNA